rnacentral:rRNA from 1 species
CAGCAGCCGCGGGAACACGUAGGUGGCAAGCGUUGUCCGGAAUUAUUGGGCGUAAAGGGCUCGCAGGCGGUUUCUUAAGUCUGAUGUGAAAGCCCCCGGCUCAACUGGGGAGGGUCAUUGGAAACUGGGAAACUUGAGUGCAGAAGAGGAGAGUGGAAUUCCACGUGUAGCGGUGAAAUGCGUAGAGAUGUGGAGGAACACCAGUGGCGAAGGCGACUCUCUGGUCUGUAACUGACGCUGAGGAGCGAAAGCGUGGGGAGCGAACAGGAUUAGAUACCCCCGUAGUCCCUGUCUCUUAUAA